AGGUUCCUGAUAACUCACUUGAAGAUUGUCAACAAUCAUUAUCACAUGUUCCAAUUGUUCAAACAAAAAAGGUUCCUGAUAACUCAUUCGAUGAUUGUCAACAAUCAUUAUCACCUGUUCCAGUUGUUCACACAAAAAAGGCUAACAUGAUCAAGAAGAUUGGAACUAGCAUAGUUGGAAAAAAUAAAAGGAAGUGGGUAAGUUUGAAAAAAA